UACCAGCACCCCGAGUGGUCGGGACGAUUAUUGGGCCUAAAGCAUCCGUAGCCGGUUCUACAAGUCUUCCGUUAAAUCCACCUGCUCAACAGAUGGGCUGCGGAGGAUACUAUAGAGCUAGGAGGCGGGAGAGGCAAGCGGUACUUAGUGGGUAGGGGUAAAAUCCGUUGAUCCAUUGAAGACCACCAGUGGCGAAGGCGGCUUGCCGGAACGCACUCGACGGUGAGGGAUGAAAGCUGGGGGAGCAAACCGG
rnacentral:rRNA from 1 species